UGUUUGAAGCCUGAAAUGUGGCAAAAGGUCGCAAAGUUCAAGGGGGCCGAAUACUUUCGCAAGGCACUGUAUGUAUGAAGGAACUGUGUAUAUACAUACACACACACACACACAGUUCCUUCGGAAAGUAUUCAGAACCCUAGACUUUUCCCACAUUUUGCUACGUUACAGCCUUAUUCUAAAAUGUAUUCAGUUAUUUUUUCCCCCUCAUCAAACUACACACACUACCCCAUAAUGACCAAGCAAAAACGGUUUCUUUAAAAAAAAAAAGUUUGCUAAUUUAUUAAAAAUAUAAAACUGAAAUAUCACAAGUAUUCAGACUCAGUACUUUGUUGAAGCACCUUUUGGCAGUGAAUACAGCCUCGAGUCUUCAUGUGUAUGACUCUACAAGCAGAUCCUGCAGAUCCUCUCAAGCUCUGUCAAGUUGGAUGGGGAGCGUUACAGCACAGCUAUUUUCAGGUCUCCAGAGAUGUUCGAUCGGGUUCAUGUCUGGGCUCUGGCUGGGGGUACUCAAGGACAUUCAGAGACUUGUCCCAAAGCCACUCCUGUGUUGUCUUGGCUGUGUGCUUAAGGUUGUUGUCAUGUUGAAAGGUGACCCUUCUCCCCAGUCUGUGAUCCUGAGCACUCUGGAGCAGGUUUUCAUCAAGGAUCUCUCUCUAUUUUGCACCGUUCAUCUUUCCCUCGAUCCUGACUGGUCUCCCAGUCCAUGCUGCUGAAAAACAUCCCCACAUCAUGAUGCUGCCACCAUGCUUCACCGUAGAGAUGGUGCCAGGUUUCCUCCAGACGUGACGCUUGGCAUUCAUGCCAAAGAGUUCAAUCUUGGUUUCAUUAGUCCAGAGAAUCUUGUUUCUCAUGGUCUGAGAGUCCUUUGGUGCCUUUUGGCAAACUCCAAGCAGGCUGUCAUGUGCUUUUUACUGAGGAGUGGCUUCCAUCUGGCCACUCUACCAUAAAGGCCUAAUUGGUGGAGUGCUCCAGAGAUGGUUGUCCUUCUGGAAGGUUCUCCCAUCUCCACAGAGGAGCUCUGUCAGAGUGACCAUCAGGUUCUUGGGCACCUCCCUGACCAAGGCCCUUCUCCACCGAUUUCUCAGUUUGGCAGAGCGGCCAGCUCUAGGAAGAGUCUUGGUGGUUCCAAUCUUCUUCCAUUUAAGAAUGAUGGAGGCCACUGUGUUCUUGGGGACCUUCAAUGCUGAGAAAAAAACAUGUUGUACCCUUCUCAAGAUCGGUGACUCGACACAAUCCUGUCUCAGAGCUCUACUGACAAUUCCUUCGAUCUCAUUGCUUGUUUUUUGCUUUGACAUGCACUGUCAACUGUUGGACCUUAUAUAGACAGGUGUGUGCCUUUCCAAAUCAUGUCCAAUAACUUGAAUUUGCCAAAGGUGGACUCCAAUCAAGUUUUAGGAAUAGGAUUAAUCAAUGGAAACAAAAUGCACCUGAGAUCAAUUUCGAAUCUCAUAGCAAAGGGUCUGAAUACUUAUGUAAAUAAGGUAUUUCUGUUUUUAAUAAAUUAGCUUUGUCAUUAUUGGGUAUUGUGUAUAGAUUGAUGAGAAACAUUUCAUUUAAUCCAUUUUAGAAUAAGGCUGUAACGUAACAAAAUAUGGAAAAGGGGACAGGGCCUGAAUACUUUCCGAAUGCAUUGUAUAAGCCCCAAGUGCCCUUAAUAAUAGAUUGGAUUCAUGUAACUGUUAGAGUUGAACCCCAGUAAAAGGGAAAGCAGUUACAUUAGUGGUUGAGCUGAGAACACAUCCAUAGGAUUUCUCUGUGUCUGUCGUUUCUCUGCAUUUGGAAAAGCAGCAACGUCCCCUGUGGUGGUCGAGUUUAAAAGCCUUAAGUCUGUUAAGGGUUCAGAGCUUGAUAAGUUACAGCGGCCAGGGAAAUACCUGCAGAUUGGGGCUGGCUGGCUAACAUUCUCCCAGCGUGCCGCUUGUGCCUGGGGCCUCCAACUCAAAAGUGUGUUGCUGUGUGCCAGAAAUGAAAUGCGUGCUUGUUCUGUAACCCAUAGACACUGCAUACUUUGUACGUACACACUACGGGUGCCAUGCACCAACGAGGAGAGCGGACCAUGAAGGUGACAAGGACCAGAGACAUCCUGACCAGCGCAACAAACUAAUGAGGCAGAAUUACUUAAGAAGCUUCUGACCUAAGGGGUUUGCAUGACAACGACCAUAGGAGUUGGCUAUAAAGCACAAACAAAUCCGGGGACCUGGCUACUUAUUCUGACAGUGGGAGAGAAUAUGUGGAUCAGUGGUCCUUCUACUCCAACUAUAUCCAAGUGCUUUAUCCUUCCAAUACUCAACCGCUCGUUGACUGUAUUGAUAUCUUUCAACAUUGACCAAAGGCCCUUACCCAUACUAUAGUAUUUAGAAUUGAGAUAAAUCCAACCAUGUCAGGAUAGCCUGGUGUAUAGCUAGAUCUAGUUGUGCAUAAUGUGUUUUCCUGACACAUGUACAUGAAAGAUGAGUUGUCAAAAGUACAAGCAGAUAUUUGGCAUUGCCCAAGAUGAAGGUUAACUCUUAAAGACAUCUCAUCUGUUUGGCUGUUUGGUUAAGUACCUUAACUCCAAGAUGAUUUAAUUAAUGGAGUUGAGUGCAGACUAGAGUUAUUUAGAAAAAAAAUAUAUAUAUAUUUACGAACCUCCAACUCCUUCAAGUCGCUGUGCAGUUGAUACUUACAUUUUUUUCAAAUUCUUAAAUCCCGUACCAUGUUUGUCCUCUGUUUGCAUGCCUUUCUUUGCUGAAAUCCAUACUUUUUAAUAAAACUUAGUCAAAUACAACCACUGACUGUUUCCUUUUUGAGAUUUAAUUGACACAUGCGCAUUCAUGCUGAGUUGCCAUCUUAGAACAACAGCAAUGAAAAAACAGUCGGUUGUAUUUUGAUUAACGUGUAAUUAAAAAGUAGGCAUUUUUGCAAACAAAGGCCUGAAACAACAAAGAUAGGUACACGGUAAGGGUUUAAGAAUUUACAUUUUUGAAGAAUCGACUGCAUAGUGAGUUGGGAGGUUCAAUUAAACUAGUCUGUGCUCAACUUUGAGUUGAGGAACUUGGCUACCGUUUGGCAUGAGUCUAAAGGUUCAACAAUGGUGAAAGUGUCUUGAACAAAUGCAUUGUCCAUGACCAGCUAUAGGUAUAACACUCUGAUUUAAUGACAGGUAGUUGAGUGGUUUGCAUACUCCAGUGCUAGACCUCCAGUCCCUCCCUAUCCCUACUGACCAUAAUGAAAGAUACUCUUAAUAAGUGGCUUUCAAAAACCAGCACCUUUAUUCAUGACAGUGAGCACACAAUGUACUUUUGAAAAGAAUGCAACGUUGUGAAAUCGUGUGCUUGAUCGGUUAGAUGGAAUGGAAUGUGUAUUGUCAAGAUGAUAGAGCACUAAGCUACAUUAAAUCAAUUAAGCUCUGUAUAGCAUAAGGAAGGAGUCUGGAAUUAAGAUGGCUCCUUUUUGUCCCAAAUUUCACCCUCUCCCCAAAAUAGUGCACUAUAUAUAGGGGAUGGGGUGCAAUUUGGGACACCGGCAUUGCUUGAUGAAAAGAAGUGUACUUGACCUACAGUACCAGUCAAGUUUGGACACCUACUUAUUCAAGGAUUUUUCUUUGUAGUGAAGACAAUGUAGAAAAUAGUAAAAAAUAAUCUAUGAACUAACACAUGGCAUCAUGUAGUAACCAAAAAAGUGUUAAACAAAGAUUAUUCUGAGUAGCCAUCCUUUGCCUUGAUGACAGCUUUGCACACUCUUGGCAUUCUCUCAACUAGCUUAACAUAGAAUGCUAUUCCAACCGUCUAGAAGGAGUUCCCACAUGCUGAGCACUUGUUGGCUGCUUUUCCUUUACUCUGCAGUUGUCCUCGUCAUCCCAAACCAUCUCAAUUGGGUUGAGGUUGUGUGAUUGUGGAGGCCAGGUCAUCUAAAGCAGCACUCCAUCACUCUCCUUCUUGGUCAAAUAGCCCUUACACAGCCUGGAGGUGUGUUGGGUCAUUGUCUUGUUGAAAAACAAAUGAUAGUCCCACUAAGUGCAAACCAGAUGGGAUGGUGUUUUGCUGCAGAAUGCUGUGGCCAUACUGGUUAAGUGUGCUUUGAAUUCUAAAUAAAUCACUGACAUUGUCACCAUCACACCUCCUCUAUGCUUCAUGGUGGAAACGACAUGUGUAGAUCAUCCGUUCACCUACUCUGCGUCUCACAAAGACACGGCGGUUGGAAUCAAAAAUGUCAAAUUUUGACUCAUCAGAUCAAAGGACAGACUUCCACCGGUCUAAUGUUCCAUUGCUCAUGUUUCUUAGCCCAAGCAGGUCUUCUUACUCCUUUAGUGGUGGUUUCUUUGCAGCAAUUCGACCAUGAAGGCUUGAUUCACGCAGUCUCCGCUGAACAGUUGAUGAUUAGAUGUCUGUUGCUUGAACUCUGUGAAGCAUUUAUUUGGGCUGCAAUUUCUGAGGCUGGUAACUAAUGAACUCUAAUGAAUGGAGCCAGUUUCAUCAUAGCGCUUGAUUGUUUUUGCGACUGCACUUGAAGAACCUUUCAGUUCUUGAAAUGAUCUGGAUUUACUGACCUUCAUGUCUUAAAGUAAUGAUGGACUCAUUUCUCUUUGCUUAUUUGAGCUGUUAUUGCCAUAAUAUGGACUUGGUCAUUUACCAAAUAGGGCUAUCUUCUGUAUACCACCCCUACCAUGUCACAACACAACUGAUUGGCUCAAAUGCUUUAACAAGGUACACCUGUUUAAUUAAUUGAAAUGCGUUCCAGAUGACUACCUCAUGAAGCUGGUUGAGAAAAUUUCAAGAGUGUGCAAAGCUGGCAAAGCGUGGGUACUUUGAAGAAUCUGAAAUAUAUUUGGAUUUGUUUAACCCUUUUUUGGUUACUACAAAAACUAUUUCAUAGUUUUGAUGUCUUCACUAUUAUUGUACAAUGUAGAAAAUAAUAGUAAAAAUAAAGAAAAGCCUAUGAAUGAGUAGGUGUGUCAAAUUUUGACUGGUACCAUAUUUUUCUUACUGAUAAAUGAGGCCUUUUGAAUUUAUAUUUACUUGACUUUGAUUUUUAGGUUGCGAUUUAGAUUUUUAGCAUCUGCAAAAGAGUUCAUAAAUACCAUUGAAUUUACGGGCCUUGAAUUUACAUAUGUGACUUGUCUUUAUUUUCCACCAGAUCUCUUAACAGCAUUUUGAGCCAAACAUAUUUUCU
ensembl:lncRNA